rnacentral:rRNA from 1 species
AUACGUAGGUGGCGAGCGUUAUCCGGAUUUACGUGGGUGUAAAGGGUGUGUAGGCGGAGAUGCAAGUCAGGUGUGAAAUUUACGGGCUCAACCCGUGACAUGCGCCUGAAACUGUGUCCCUUGAGUGUCGGAGGGGUAAAUAGAAUUCCCGGUGUAGCGGUGAAAUGCGUAGAUAUCGGGAGGAAUACCGGUGGCGAAGGCGAUUUACUGGACGACAACUGACGCUGAUACACGAAAGCGUGGGGAGC